rnacentral:tRNA from 1 species
GGGCGAUUAGCUCAGUUGGUAGAGCACUGGCCAAACAUGCCAGAGGUCGGUGGUUCGAGUCCACCGUCGCCCA